GAUGGGUACAUGCCUAUAGUCCCAGCUACACAGGUGGCUGAGGCAGGAGGAUUGCUUGAGUCCAGGAGUUCCAGGCUAUAGUGCAAUAUGCCUAUUGGGUGUUCACACUAAGUUUGACAUCAAUAUGGUGACCUGGAAAUGGGACCAACAGGUUGCAAGUACUGAUCAGUACUGAGAUUGUGCCUGUGAAUAUUCACUGCCCUCCAGUUUGGGCAACAUAGUAAGACCCCAUCUCUG
rnacentral:sRNA from 1 species